AACGAACGCUGGCGGCAGGCUUAACACAUGCAAGUCGAACGGGUGUAGCAAUACAUCAGUGGCAGACGGGUGAGUAACACGUGGGAACCUUCCUAGGGGUACGGAACAACUCAGGGAAACUUGAGCUAAUACCGUAUACGUCCGUGAGGAGAAAGAUUUAUCGCCCUUAGACGGGCCCGCGUCGGAUUAGCUAGUUGGUGGGGUAACGGCCUACCAAGGCGACGAUCCGUAGCUGAUCUUAGAGGAUGAUCAGCCACACUGGGACUGAGACACGGCCCAGACUCCUACGGGAGGCAGCAGUGGGGAAUCUUGGACAAUGGGCGCAAGCCUGAUCCAGCCAUUGCCGCGUGAGUGAAGAAGGUCUUCGGAUUGUAAAGCUCUUUUGCCAGGGACGAUAAUGACGGUACCUGGA
rnacentral:rRNA from 1 species